rnacentral:lncRNA from 1 species
CCGAACAGGCUGAGAGAUAUGAGGAGAUGGUCGAGUUUAUGGAGAAAGUUGCCAAGACUGUUGAUGUUGAGGAGCUAACAGUGGAGGAAAGAAAUCUCCUCUCUGUGGCUUAUAAGAAUGUGAUUGGAGCGAGGAGAGCUUCGUGGAGGAUCAUAUCUUCCAUUGAGCAGAAGGAGGAGAGCAGAGGGAAUGAGGAUCAUGUUGCGAUUAUCAAGGAAUACAGGAGCAAGAUUGAGACUGAGCUCAGCAAGAUCUGUGAUGGGAUCUUGAACCUUCUUGAGUCGCACCUCAUUCCAUCUGCCUCAUCUGCCGAGUCCAAGGUGUUUUACCUCAAGAUGAAAGGUGAUUACCACAGGUACCUUGCUGAGUUUAAGACUGGAGGUGAAAGAAAGGAAGCAGCUGAGAGCACUUUGUUGGCUUACAAGUCUG